rnacentral:rRNA from 1 species
UACGUAGGGUGCAAGCGUUGUCCGGAAUUAUUGGGCGUAAAGCGUGCGCAGGCGGCUUUGCAAGACAGAUGUGAAAUCCCCGGGCUUAACCUGGGAACUGCAUUUGUGACUGCAUGGCUGGAGUGCGGCAGAGGGGGAUGGAAUUCCGCGUGUAGCAGUGAAAUGCGUAGAUAUGCGGAGGAGCACCGAUGGCGAAGGCAAUCCCCUGGGCCUGCACUGACGCUCAUGCACGAAAGCGUGGGGAGCAAACAGG